UCUUUCAGAGGAGGGAAUUUUUUCUUCGAAAUGCCACAAAGGAAGCACAAUGGAUUCCUGUGAACGUGUCCGUGGAGUGCAGCAGUUCCUGUGUGGCGAGUUUAUGAUUUACAAACAUCACUGACAGAGAAGAAGAAAGAAGAAAAAGGAGCACUUGGCAGGCGCUUUAGGCCAAGAGGGGACGAUUUACCGUGCUAUGAUCUCAGUCCAUGAUGAAGGCUUUUUUACUGCUGCUUGUAAUCUCUUUUUCUUCUUUGACCUUCACCGCCAGCACAGCUCUCCCCAAACACACACAUACACAAACAUUUUUUUAAAACAGAAAAUAGAAAUACCUCCUGUCAGUGACAUUCAUGAGUUCAUGAAUUACUCUCUGAGCAGUCAUAGAGAAAACUGGAAUCUGCAUGGGUUUAUUUUCUGUCCCACAAAUAGACUCAUGAUCAGAUUCAAAAGUAGUGUCGUAUUUCUCUUCUUUCAGCCCUUGUUUUUUUUUAAACUUAAUUGCAUUAAACUGAGAUCAUAAAAAGUCAAGCCAAAGUUAAAUGUCCAAUUCAUGUCUCUGAGGUUAAGCUCUACUUUUUUUGCGCUCCAUAAUUUCCUGUUAGCGAGCAAGGCAGACAUGUAGUAAAGCAGGGCUCAUCUGGACUGCAGUCUCUGGCUGUGGAUGCCAAGAACCCCUGGCCUGCAUACCAAGGGAAGAUGAGACAGGAUGGAGCAGACGAGGGAGAGGCAUCAAACGCACCGCCCGGCAUUUCAAACACCGCAGCGGGCUGAGGUUCCUCACCAGCCUCUGAGGAUGAAACACCAGCGUGGAUGUGAUCCUUUGUAUGCGUAAAGUAUUAGUACGGUGGCCCUAAGAGGCUUAACUGCAGGUCAUAAUAACUAUAAAUAAGGGAAUAAGACUCACAAAUGGAGGAAGGGGGAGUGAAGGAAAAGCUUUUGCACUUGCUGGCUGGGAGGGAGGUGAACUCUGAAACAGGACUGGUUUACUAAAGAGUGUUUUAGUUAAAUUUAUUAUAAAGACCAACACUGAUGAAAAUCAUGUUUUUCUUGUUGUCCACAUGUUCAAAUGGCAUUUUUCUGAUACUAGAGGACAUAUCAUGAGAAAAAGAAGUGUGGAAUUUUAUUUCUGAGUAUUUCUGCAUGUAAAUCAUUAUGAAUCUCUGGCAGACCCGAACGGCAGGAUCAGAUACAGUGAGAUACAGUUAGCCCCGCUAUGCAGGCCGGGCUCAGAGAAAUAGAGACGACAACCGCGGAACAAGCAUGUGCGUUAGCGGAUUGAAAUGCUUGUAAGAAAGUUAAUGAUGCAAUUAGCUCACAUCAUGCCCCUAAAGGCAAUGGUGUCCGGGAGCUUAAUAGCUUAUAUUACCUGUGUCUUCUACUGCAACGGCAAUGUUACCUGGGAUUUCCACCGCAUCCAGAGCGGCUCCGAUCUGGAACGGGGGCGAUGCUUGCCGUACGCCAAUCCCUAUCCGGUCUGUUUGUGAGACAAAUUUUGUGGUGGAUACAGACAGCAGGAAUCGUAAGAACUCAUGAGAACCCGUGGAUUCACAUGCAAUUGCAUGAUAAUAAGUUGUCUUUAGCCACAUAGGCUAACCAUAUAAGCAGUAGAUUGUGUUCUGCCAGAGGAGGAAAUCUACUUCUAGACUUAUGAAAUCAGCAUCCUCUCAUCUUUGGUGUCAUCAGGGUGAAAUGCCGUCUAUAAACCUUUCACUUGUUCUUCCCCGCCCGUUUGCAUAGUGUGAAAUACGAUCCGCCUGAAACAGAGAGUGUUUUAUUUUGAAAAGAAGCCGGAUGUUUUAUUUUGUGUCUGUGCAUGACUUCCUUUCCAGCACAGGUUAAUCUGUGCUGAAUUUAUUCGGCAUGCUCCGGCGUCUGGAAAAAAUAGUACUCUUGCGAUCUGCAGCGGAACGGAAAGAAGCCAAUAAAAAUUGACACAUUAACUUGAAUGAUUACAAUCAGGUACGAUCGCCGGAUACGGCCUUUUUCGAAGCCAGGGGAGUGUAAAGGGCAGAACUGUCUCCGCCCACAAUUCAGAGGUGAAUUGCUAAUGAGCAACUGUAGCUCUGCAGAAGAAAAGCCCUUGAAAACGACACAGGUAACGUGAUUUUGGCUAAAAACGUCAUAAUCCCAGUUUAAAGAGCACUGGUAACACUUAAAGUAGUAAAAAAAAACAAAAAAACAAUUGGAGUGGGACUUUAACGCUUCUGUUAAUACUUUAAAUUUAAACCCUCUUGCAGAUGAUAAAGCAAAACAAAAAUCCACAGCAGCUACAUCAAUAGUGGUCCACCUCUGUUUUCCAGGAAAGUAAAGGAAACAUAUAAGCAGUUUCAAGUCUUCCAAAACCUUUGACUCUGUUUUCCCUGCCUCCCGUGUUUGCAGGCGACUCCAACUCUCUCGCAGAAUUAGUCAUCACCCUUGAAACCUGCAUUAAAUCAUGAAGUAGAUAAUAAAAUUGCAAAUAUGCAAAAUUUAAGAAGGAACAGGAAAUUAGAUACAGCAGAUGAGGAAAACUGGUGUCAUGACAAACACUGUUUUAUUAAAGCUGUUGCACAUUUUGAGUAAAACGGCUCUGAUUUAAAAUUUAUAGUUUUGUUCCUCGUCUCCAAUUUUUCCACACUCAUAACAUACACAGCCAUAACCUGCCGCUCCUCACACCUGACUGAGUUGUCCAACCACUUAAUGGUUCACACGUGCCGCAGUCUGUAUUGGCAGUUGGUCUAAGUCCCUCUCUACUCCCCAGGGCCAGGUCUAGUAAAAAAAAAAAAAAGGCCUCUAUAAAUAAGGCCAACUGUUUCUCUGGAGCCUAUAAAUCUGACAGAGCUGGAUUUUUCUCCAUUGUGGCAUCUGGCGUCAUUUGUCACAUAUGUGGUGAGCAAUUAGGUAAAAAGGAAAAGCAGGAAACCCAGCGGAGGCUGCGUUGGCUGGUGCCAGCAAGCCGCAGAGAGACCACGAAGCAGAGGCAGGAGAGGAGAGCCGGAGAAAGUGAAAAAUGUCAGGAAAAAAAAAAAAAGUAUUGGGUCUGGGGGAUGACAUCACUGCUUUUGAGUCAAUGAUGUGGUUUGAGACCCUUGUUAAGGAGAUUGAGCUUAGAUUGCUUUUAAAGUCCUUAGCUCUUAUAAUCUGUGGAUAUCGACCUUGAGUCUGAACUCCCAGACAAAGAGAUGGGAUUCCAUUACAGGCAGAAAUACACAAACCUACAUACACACAAUGGGAGCAUACAUGCCACUGCUGCUACACAGACCACCUCACAUAUGGCGUUUAAUCCUGUUGACAUUUCUUGAGAAUGCAAUGACAUUUCAGACACAAGAGGUCUAAUUGUGCAGCAUUUCCUGCAAGACGUGAGCACAACUGAGCAUGAACCAAAAGCUAAAACAGGUCUUCCUGUGUCACACCCGAUUAAUUCGUGUUUCCAGUUGUAGAAGACUUGAGCUACAUUUUAAAAUCUAUGAAAACACCGUCUGCUAACUAUAUAUUCUGUCAUCCUGGAAGUACAACAGAAUCUUAAACACUGUUAUGAUAUUUUGAUUACAGGUCUGCUAACUUUCCACAUUUUCUGAGGUGACUUUUAAAACAGUCAGGACAGAUAUAACCACUCUGGCUCCGAAAACUCCUCUGCAGCUCUUCCUCCACCUAAACCCAAUGGGAGUCUAAUUGCUGCAUCUGUUUCCCGUCACAAUAUAACCACAAUUAGGAGGUUUCGCAGCGCAGGGGUCAAACAAGAGAGCUACCGUCCAAACAGAAACUCUAUUCCACUCGCUAAUGAUUGUAGACAGAACAGGACGCGAGUCAGACUUGAAGUACAGGA
rnacentral:lncRNA from 1 species